UUGAUCUUUCUUUUGUAACUCUAUAUAAUAAUGAUACAUUCCCUUCAACCAAAAGUGCAUGCAAACAAAAAAUCCCCACUAAUUUCUGUCUUUUUAUUUUAGUCGUACAUUUGAUCUUUCUCUUAAUUAGAACUGUGAUUGCUUUAUUCAUUGCCCGAAUGACCCACUUGUGUGAUUAAUCACUAAUCUUGUUCAAGCUCAACUCAAGGAUGAAUGUAAUUAAGAACAAAAACCCAGCUUAAUUAUAAUUAAACUGGGCACAUAUCGAUUAGGGUUAGACUCAGUUGAUAUAUCUGCAGAUAAUUGCAGGAGAUGAAAAUUAUAAAUUUAACCAUCAAAUUUCUCUUCUAAAGAAUCUAAAGAGAAGAAAAAUGAAAGAAAGAAAG
rnacentral:misc_RNA from 1 species